CCUACGGGUGGCAGCAGUGAGGAAUAUUGGUCAAUGGGCGGAAGCCUGAACCAGCCAAGUCGCGUGAGGGAUUAAGGCCCUGCGGGUCGUAAACCUCUUUUGCCGGGGAGCAGUGGUCCGGACGCGUCCGGACCGGGAGAGUACCCGGAGAAAAAGCAUCGGCUAACUCCGUGCCAGCAGCCGCGGUAAUACGGAGGAUGCGAGCGUUAUCCGGAUUGACUGGGCGUAAAGGGUGCGUAGGUGGUUUAGUAAGUUGGCGGUGUAAUUCCGGGGCUCAACCUCGGCGCUACCGCCAAAACUAUUAGACUAGAGUGCAGGAGGGGUAAGUGGAAUUCCUAGUGUAGCGGUGGAAUGCGUAGAUAUUAGGAGGAACAGCAGGGGCGAAGGCGACUUACUGGACUGUAACUGACACUGAGGCACGAAAGCGUGGGGAGCAAACAGGAUUAGAUACCCCUGUAGUC
rnacentral:rRNA from 1 species